UACGGAGGGUGCAAGCGUUAUCCGGAAUCACUGGGUUUAAAGGGUGCGUAGGCGGUCGCAUAAGUCAGCAGUGAAAUUCCCCCGCUCAACGGGCGGAACUGCUGUUGAUACUGUACGACUUGAAUCAGGUUGAGGUAAGCGGAAUGUGACAUGUAGCGGUGAAAUGCUUAGAUAUGUCAUAGAACACCAAUUGCGAAGGCAGCUUGCUGGGCUUCGAUUGACGCUGAGGCACGAAAGCGUGGGGAGCAAACAGG
rnacentral:rRNA from 1 species